UUCUGUUAAUAAACUAAUGGUAAAACUCACGUGAGAGGCACGUGGGAAUAAAAGCUAAAGCUAAACAGCCUGAACCGUUGAGAGGGAGGGAGAAAGUUUGAGCUUAGUUUAGAGAGAGGGGAGAUGAUCCAACCAGAAGUCCAUAAUCACCUCAGUAUCCUCUCUCCGGUGCCGGAGUUCCACCGUCAUCUCACUGGCUGUUCACCUCUGGUAAUCAUAAUGUAUACUGUUGGAGAAGAACAAAGUUGCAAUGCACAUAGAGGAUCCCUAAGUGGCAUGGAGUACAUAUCAAUAUAUUUUACCAAAAUGUCAAACUCGUUUGUCAUAUGGAGAAAAUCAAUCAACAUGAAGGAGAUGUUUUCAGUGGCUUUUGUAAAUCUGGACUCUAGUGCCAGCUUACUAUAUAUACAUUGCAGUGACUAUCUAUGUAGGAGCCCCAAAAAAAGAGCUUGUGAUGUAAUAUACCUACCUAUUUAGAUUAGAUGUAAUAUAAUAUAAAAAUAUUCACAACUAUGUAAUGUUCAACUUGUGAAAUUAAUGGAAUUCCACCAAUGUAUGAGUUAUUGAAAAAGCU